AAAAUUAUUUAUGGUUUAUUUUAAUUUAUUAUUUAUUUAUUUUACAUAUAAAUUUUAGUAAUAAAUUAUAUUUAUUUUAAAAAUAAAUAUUUAAUAAUUAAGUAGUAAUUAAUAUUAAAAAAUUUAAGAAAUUAAGAUUUAGUAAUAUAAAAAUUAAUAACAAAUUUUGUGCCAGCAGUUGCGGUUACACAAAAAUUAAAUUAAAUUUUUUUAGUUUUAAUUAAAAUUAAGAAAAAAAAUUAUAUUAAAUAUUAAAUUAUUAAGUAAAAUUUUAAUUUGAUUUAAAUAUAUUAAAAAUAUUUUGAGUUAAUAAAUUUAUAUAAAUAAACUAGGAUUAGAUACCCUAUUAUUUUAAAUUUAAAUUAAAGAUACUAAAAUAGUAAAUAUAUUAAUAUUUAAACUUAAAUAAUUUGGCGGUAUUUUAGUUCAUUUAGAGGAAUCUGUUUAAUAAUUGAUAAUCCACGAUUAAAUUUACUUAAUUUAUUAUUUUAUAUAUCGUUGUUAAAAAAAUAUUUUUAAAUAAUUAUAAUAUUUUAAAAUUAAAAAUUAAAAUUAAAUCAGAUCAAGAUAUAGAUUAUAAUUAAGAAUAUAAUGGAUUACAAUAAAUUUAUUUAAAAUGGAUAUAAAUUUGAAAAAAUUUAUUAAAAGUGGAUUUAAAUGUAAUUUUUUUUUAUUUAAAAAAAAUGAUUAUUAAUUGAAAUAUGUACAUAUUGCCCGUCGCUUUCAUUAAUAAAUUGAAAUAAGUCGUAACAAAGUAGAGGUACUGGAAAGUGUUUCUAGAAAGA
rnacentral:ncRNA from 1 species